CAAAUCAAGACAGAAUGAGACUAUCUAUUUUGAAACAAUGUUUUUCUUUCUUAUUUGGCAAUCAUAAUACAGACCAUCAACAGAGACCAAAAAGGCAAUGGCCAUGUCUCUAGUAGAGACAUUUCCCCGUCUCCGUGACCCUGAAGGAAAUGGCUUUGAGGCCUGGUUCAGCCAGGGGCGAAAACACAGGCCUUCCACAGGAUUUCUUGAGGAGCGCCUUCGCAAUAUAAGAAAGAGGAUGUGGAGACUAUGAACACAGCCCUCCGUAGUGCCUGUCUGUGAGGAGAGGUUGACUUUCAUUCCUACAUCAACUUUGUCUUCUGAGAGAGCAAUUCAAUUAAAAGAAUGGCUAAAAAAACAAUACCAGACCACAGGACCAGGUUGAGCAGUAUAUGAAAGCAACUGCUCUUUUUAGGGCUCACUGGAUUCGCCAGAACAGCUCCAAACCAAUAUCUGAGAUUUUAUCAGAGUUCCCUCGUCUAAUGGAUACCCCAGGCAUGAUAUCUCAAGACUUUAGUGUACUUCACCCCGAUGCUGCUGACAAAUUGUGCUCAUCCUGGUUGCCUGACUUUGCUGACAAGAUCCUGGCCUUUGCUAAAAGAGAUGGACGACAAAUGGAUUUACUGAAUUUAGACAACAUGUCUGCAGGUUAGUAAUUAUGUAAAAUCAAAUGCAGAAGAAACAGUUGCAUUAAAAGUA